GGACGCAUAGCUCAGUUGGUUAGAGCACCACGUUGACAUCGUGGGGGUCACUGGUUCGAAUCCAGUUGUGUCCA
rnacentral:tRNA from 15 species